AGGGGAGACACGACUAGAGGCCAAGGUCAAGUUGAAAGCGGCAACCUAGCCAAUGCCAGGAUGGUCAUUCAGAGCCGGA